rnacentral:rRNA from 1 species
GAAGUUAAGCCCUAUAGCGUCGAUGGUACUGCAAGGGGGACCUUGUGGGAGAGUAGAUCGCCGCCGGAC